AGUGAACGCUGGCGGUAGGCCUAACACAUGCAAGUCGAACGGCAGCACAGUAAGAGCUUGCUCUUACGGGUGGCGAGUGGCGGACGGGUGAGGAAUACAUCGGAAUCUACUUUUUCGUGGGGGAUAACGUAGGGAAACUUACGCUAAUACCGCAUACGACCUACGGGUGAAAGCAGGGGAUCUUCGGACCUUGCGCGAUUGAAGUAGCCGAUGUCGGGUUAGCUAGUUGGCGGGGUAAAGGCCCACCAAGGCGACGAUCCGUAGCUGGUCUGAGAGGAUGAUCAGCCACACUGGAACUGGGCCACGGUCCAGACUCCUAAGGGAGGCAGCAGUGGGGAAUAUUGGACAAUGGGCGCAAGCCUGAUCCAGCCAUACCGCGUGGGUGAAGAAGGCCUUCGGGUUGUAAAGCCCUUUUGUUGGGAAAGAAAAGCAGCAGGUUAAUACCACGCUGUUCUGACGGUACCCAAAGAAUAAGCACCAGCUAACUUCGUG
rnacentral:rRNA from 1 species